UGUAGAGACCCGCCUUUGAAUUCGCUACACACGAAAAAAUAAGCUUUGAAACAAAAGUAUUUUCUUUAGUUCUUGAAGCGGAAGAAUGCAUCGAACGACGCUGAGUCUUUGGAGAUUUGUGUCCAGCGGAGAUAAAUAUUAAUUGUUUCAUCUGAAAGGCCUAGUGAAUAAUGUUGUGGAACCAGCUGCGUGGGACCUCGGAGAGAAUUAGUGGGAUCGCUCGUAGUAGAAAAGCCCUCCUUCGACAGCAAAGGCACUGCUUCCUGGCCGAGGGCUUUAGGUUUUCAACCACAAUAUGCUGCCACUUUUGAGGACUGAUGAUGCUGUCUUCAUGAGGACACAGCUUGGGAAGCUUAAUCCGGGUGAAGAGGGGCCUGACGAAGCGCAGGGGACUUGUAUUAAAUGAAUGUGACGAGCUGCAUGAGAUGAGCACUCUGGUCUCUGCCGGUUCCUGUGACAUGCUAAUAUAACCACAGAGAUGCUCUUCAGAUCUGUGAAUUGCUCCUUCACUUUGUGCAGGCUACAGCUCUUAUAUGUUAUAUAUUCUGUUAUGUAAAUGUAAGUAUGGUUCAUCCUGUUUUAUUUUGCUUUCUCUAUAGACCAGCAUCAUAAGAUGCUUUUGCCAGGCUUUUGGUUAAUAUUGUAUGCCGUAUAGUCUAAGAUCUAUGGUGGCGUUUGACUCAAAGACUUGAAUUUUUUUUUUCUGUUUGGCUUUGAUAUUUUUUCAAGAUAAAGAACAGAACUUUACUUUAUUAAAGGAUAGUGCCUUAGAGCCUGAAAGUAAUAUAAAGUCCGCUGAUGUAAUGACAUAUUCUUUCUUUGUUAAACUGCAAACAUUUAACAAGAUAAAGCACAAACAUUAAACAGCUAAAAGAUAGCUAGACAUUGCGCCCCAGCCAUGAGAGUGACUUUACUUCACCACAGUCACUGUUUAUUUCAGCACUUUCAUCCGUCCUAUUUCAGCAUAUUCAUCAUUAAUAUGUAUGUGGAUGGGCUGACAUGUUCAGGUAGGACAGACUGGCGGUGCGGCUGAAUUCCUCAUGUCAGAUUAGGUCACUAAGUAUGUUAAAGGGAUGCCGCAGUUCAUGCUUUUAGGCAUAGCCUUGGGCCAUAGCCAUCAAAAGCCUUUGUAUCGUGCCUUUAUUUCAGAUCUCUGUACAAAAAACACAAUAAAUGAUAAAACCCAAAGUCAUUUCA